GUGAGGAAUUUUCCGCAAUGGGCGAAAGCCUGACGGAGCAAUGCCGCGUGAAGGAUGAAGGCCUAUGGGUUGUAAACUUCUUUUCUCAGAAAAGAAUUAUGACGGUAUCUGAGGAAUAAGCAUCGGCUAACUCUGUGCCAGCAGCCGCGGUAAGACAGAGGAUGCAAGCGUUAUCCGGAAUGAUUGGGCGUAAAGCGUCUGUAGGUUGUUUAAAAAGUAUUCUGUCAAAGAUUAGGGCUUAACCCUAGAUAGGCAGAAUAAACUUUUAAGCUAGAGUUUGGUAGAGGCAGAGGUAAUUCCCGGUGGAGCGGUGAAAUGCGUAGAUAUCGGGAGGAACACCAAAGGCGAAGGCACUCUGCUGGGCCAAUACUAACACUGAGAGACGAAAGCGAGGGGAGCAAAUGGGAUUAGAAACCCCGGUAGUCC
rnacentral:rRNA from 1 species